GACGAACGCUGGCGGCGUGCCUAAUACAUGCAAGUCGAGCGAAGCGGCGGAUGGGUGAGUACCGCGUGGGUAACCUGCCCUUCAGUCUGGGAUACCAUUUGGAAACAGAUGCUAAUACCGGAUCCUAAAGGAUGGACCUGCGAUGCAUUAGCUAGUGGGUAAGGUAACGGCUUACCAAGGCGAUGAUGCAUAGCAGGGUGGAGAGACUGAUCGGCAACAUGGGGACUGAGACACGGCCCAGACUCCUACGGGAGGCAGCAGUAGGGAAUCUUCCACAAUGGACGAAAGUCUGAUGGAGCAACGCCGCGUGUGUGAAGAAGGUUUUCGGAUCGUAAAGCUCUUUUAUUGGGGAAGCGGUAAUCAACCAGAAAGUCACGGCUAACUACGUGCCAGCAGCCGCGGUAAUAC
rnacentral:rRNA from 1 species